ACGAACGCUGGCGGCGUGCCUAAUACAUGCAAGUAGAACGCUGAAGAGAGGAGCUUGCUCUUCUUGGAUGAGUUGCGAACGGGUGAGUAACGCGUAGGUAACCUGCCUUGUAGCGGGGGAUAACUAUUGGAAACGAUAGCUAAUACCGCAUAACAAUGGAUGACACAUGUCAUUUAUUUGAAAGGGGCAAUUGUUCCACUACAAGAUGGACCUGCGUUGUAUUAGCUAGUAGGUGAGGUAAUGGCUCACCUAGGCGACGAUACAUAGCCGACCUGAGAGGGUGAUCGGCCACACUGGGACUGAGACACGGCCCAGACUCCUACGGGAGGCAGCAGUAGGGAAUCUUCGGCAAUGGGGGCAACCCUGACCGAGCAACGCCGCGUGAGUGAAGAAGGUUUUCGGAUCGUAAAGCUCUGUUGUAAGUCAAGAACGGGUGUGAGAGUGGAAAGUUCACACUGUGACGGUAGCUUACCAGAAAGGGACGGCUAACUACGUGCCAGCAGCCGCGGUAAUACGUAGGUCCCGAGCGUUGUCCGGAUUUAUUGGGCGUAAAGCGAGCGCAGGCGGUUUGAUAAGUCUGAAGUUAAAGGCUGUGGCUCAACCAUAGUUCGCUUUGGAAACUGUCAAACUUGAGUGCAGAAGGGGAGAGUGGAAUUCCAUGUGUAGCGGUGAAAUGCGUAGAUAUAUGGAGGAACACCGGUGGCGAAAGCGGCUCUCUGGUCUGUAACUGACGCUGAGGCUCGAAAGCGUGGGGAGCGAACAGGAUUAGAUACCCUGGUAGUCCACGCCGUAAACGAUGAGUGCUAGGUGUUGGAUCCUUUCCGGGAUUCAGUGCCGCAGCUAACGCAUUAAGCACUCCGCCUGGGGAGUACGACCGCAAGGUUGAAACUCAAAGGAAUUGACGGGGGCCCGCACAAGCGGUGGAGCAUGUGGUUUAAUUCGAAGCAACGCGAAGAACCUUACCAGGUCUUGACAUCCCGAUGCUAUUUCUAGAGAUAGAAAGUUACUUCGGUACAUCGGUGACAGGUGGUGCAUGGUUGUCGUCAGCUCGUGUCGUGAGAUGUUGGGUUAAGUCCCGCAACGAGCGCAACCCCUAUUGUUAGUUGCCAUCAUUCAGUUGGGCACUCUAGCGAGACUGCCGGUAAUAAACCGGAGGAAGGUGGGGAUGACGUCAAAUCAUCAUGCCCCUUAUGACCUGGGCUACACACGUGCUACAAUGGUUGGUACAACGAGUUGCGAGUCGGUGACGGCGAGCUAAUCUCUUAAAGCCAAUCUCAGUUCGGAUUGUAGGCUGCAACUCGCCUACAUGAAGUCGGAAUCGCUAGUAAUCGCGGAUCAGCACGCCGCGGUGAAUACGUUCCCGGGCCUUGUACACACCGCCCGUCACACCACGAGAGUUUGUAACACCCGAAGUCGGUGAGGUAACCUUUUGGAGCCAGCCGCCUAAGGUGGGACAGAUGAUUGGGGU
rnacentral:rRNA from 1 species